rnacentral:rRNA from 1 species
AUGCACCGGCGUGUUGGGCGCGCUGACCAGCAUGCGGACGGGCCGGACGCCACUCAAAACGCCGACCCAAAGCGGGCAAAACACACGUCCAUUUGCAUCGGCAGGUUGGCGGUGAGGUCCCGAAAGAGGGGAUAUUUCUUUGAUGCAAACUCAACCGCAAUUCAGGGAAAUGAAGGACUGUGCGGGGGCAUCCCUGGAACGAAGUUGCCUCCGUGUUCCACCAACGCCUCCAAGAAACGGCCUUUGAAGCAUAUCAUGACAAUCUCCAUAAGCAGUGGACUCCUAUUGCAUAUCGUCCUUGUAGCAAUGUUUGCUUGCUGGUACAGCAGGAGGAGCAAGCCACACCAAGCUAACACAGACUCAUCACUCGUCAAUGAUUUACAUGUCAGAGUAUCUUAUGCUGAAUUAGCCAAUGCAACAAAUGGUUUUGCUUCUGAGAACCUCAUCGGAGUAGGAAGCUUCGGCUCGGUGUACAAGGGAAGAAUGGUGAUCCAUGGCCAGCAGGUCAUUGUUGCUGUCAAAGUGUUCAAUCUGCAACAACGUAGCGCAUCUCAAAGUUUUCUUGCAGAAUGCGAGACCCUAAGUUGUGUUCGGCAUCGAAACCUUGUGAAGAUCUUGACAGUCUGCUCAAGUAUGGCUUUCCACAGCCAGGAUUUCAAAGCUCUUUUGUUUGAAUUUCUACCGAAUGGAAAUUUGGACCAAUGA